GACGAACGCUGGCGGCGUGCUUAACACAUGCAAGUCGAACGGAAAGGCCCUGCUUUUGUGGGGUGCUCGAGUGGCGAACGGGUGAGUAACACGUGAGUAACCUGCCCUUGACUUUGGGAUAACUUCAGGAAACUGGGGCUAAUACCGGAUAGGAGCUCCUGCUGCAUGGUGGGGGUUGGAAAGUCUCGGCGGUUGGGGAUGGACUCGCGGCUUAUCAGCUUGUUGGUGGGGUAGUGGCUUACCAAGGCUUUGACGGGUAGCCGGCCUGAGAGGGUGACCAGCCACAUUAGAACUGAGAUACGGCCCAGACUCCUACAGGAGGCAGCAGGGGGGAAUAUUGCACAAUGGGCGGAAGCCUGAGGCGGCAACGCCGCGUGCGGGAUGACGGCCUUCGGGUUGUAAGCCGCUUUCGCCUGUGACGAAGCGUGAGUGACGGUAAUGGGUAAAGAAGCACCGGCUAACUACGUG
rnacentral:rRNA from 1 species